GCACUCAAUGCUUCCCUUGCU
rnacentral:siRNA from 1 species